ensembl:piRNA 21ur-6143 ncRNA
UCAGAAUAUGGGUUAUAUCAA